ACAAUUUCAGAUUUUUUUCCCACCACCUUCCUCAUGGUCACGUUUUGCUUUUCUGUUUUCUCCCAGUUUGCAUGGUGCAUGUCAGAGCGUGCAUGCAAGAGAUUACAGGCAUGAUACAGGUGGCUUCAUUUCCAUCUUCCCUCUAAAUAUUAAAGUGUAUUUAAUAAUAACAAUAAACUUGUAUGUAGCCCAGAAAGUGAUUGCAGGCAUUUCAUGUGUAUUAUGUAAUAGCAAUUUUAUACUUGAUUAUUUCCUGUUUUCUACUUUUCAGACUGGACAUUUUUCUCAGGGCCUGACACUUUAGCUGCCAUCUUCUUGCUAGUAACUGGAGGGGAAUGAUGGUUAGGAAGCCAACAUGAUAGUUGUAGAGACUUUGGGGUUCUGAUGAAACAGUGAUGAUGAAGAGCUUCCCUUGGGCUUUCUUCCAGUGAGUCAUCGUGGAGCCACCUCUGUCCAGUCAGACAGACUGCUCUACCAGUGGGUUUGGGCUUGAUGUGUCUGUCUAAUUGUUAUUCUUUCUAGGUGAGAAUCAACUCAAGCAAGUGGGAUGUUUCAGGAAAGCUAUUUCCUGUAUGCUGGUAUUGACUAUGUAGAUUUCAUGUACUACAACACAUUACAUUGUGAAAGCCCAUGAAUAACUGGUGACCUGAUAACAUGACAGGAUGUUUUAGUGCUACAUUUAAAAACCUCUGAUGCUUUAAAAUAGAUCUUUGCCACUUGCCGACGAGGUGUGUUAUGUUUCAACAUUACUUCAUUAAACGUCUGUGUACACAUUUAGAAAAAGAAGAGGCCUUUCUUAGUAGCCUUCCAAUCAAGAGUCUCAUGAAAAGUAGCCAGCAUGCAUGCAUACUUGGAAUUGGGGUGUCUGUGCUUGCAGAAGGAAACCCUGCUUCCCAGUCUGGAGCAGAGCGUUUCUCCAGUACCUGUAAAUGCCAAGAGCCUGAGAGUCAUGCUUUUAUUUGAAGAAAUUUAAUUAGAAAUUUCAUUUCAGGGCACUGUGAUGAUUUGCUCAGUAUCUCACCAAUUGUAAGGAAUAGAUGCAAAGUCAACCUACAUCGGUCUGAUUUUAGAAGCCGAGUAAUUCGGUGCUGUGUUUGACUAACUAGCUCCAUUGUAGAGCCAUCUGAUAAGUCGUUCACAGUUUUAAUAUACUUUAAUGUUCUAACUGUAGUUCUCCAGUCAAGAAGGAAAUAAAGGAGUCUUAGCUUUGACAUCAUAAUAUACACAGCUACUGUUGAUAUAUCUGUGGCUAACUGAUUGAGCCAUGCGCUUGAAUCUAGAAAUCUCAUGUCUUGUAGCAAGUAAUUUAUUUUCAUGUGGUAAAGAUCUGUUUAUUUUACCAGUCCCAUUUACAAAAGACAUACAUUUUGAACCUCUCAUGCUUAUACUCUCUAAUUACCACAGGUGACACGUGUGUCAGGAAACCCUGUGCAACAUGGUUGGCUUGUAUAGUCAAACGGUUUCAGCUGAAAUAGAGAAACAGCUAAUUGCCUGUUGAGAUCGUUUUUCCAGCCUCCUGAGCCAGAAAUGCCUAUUCAAGUUAAAACAAAACAAAACAAACAAAACCCACUUGACGGCUAAGCUCCUAGGUCAUUAUAAAAGAUAUUUCUGUUCAAGUUAAUAUGUAAUUAACAUCAAACAUUUUAAGAAAAGCAGGGUUAUUUUCUACUAUCCAGACUUAUUUGUCCGUUAACUUUUAGAGGUUGAUUUUUUAUUUAACCAUUAAUGAUCUAUUAUUGACAUAACCAGUCAUUUUUGCUAGUUUAUGACCAAUUGAGCCAUUCAUGAGUACACAGCUAAUGUUCCCUAGUUCAUUACUUAGCAAGUAUUCAAUCACUACUAUGGAACAAAUACUAGGAGCACUGACUAGUAUGAAAAACAAAGUGUGAUAGUGCUUGCACAAAGAAACUCGUUGUCUCCACUGUGACCCUUGCCAGCAGUCCAAGUAGGCUUUUGAGGUCAUCACCAAAGAAGACCAUCGAGCCUCUGCACCAUUCCCCAGCAGUGCCUAUUGCUGACACAUGACCUUUACCCUGAGGAAUUUGUAGAAUCUGUAGAAUUUGCAGUUUGUAGAAGAGUGACGUUUAUUUAAAACUCUUAUGUGAGACUUGGAGUUGCAGAGUCUAGGUAGAGGUCUGGACAUCAGUCUACAUUGAGAACUUUCCUUCUAAAGCCUCCAUAUGUUCCAAGGACAGAGUACUAAGUCUCACUCAUCUGCUACAACAGGAGGAUUCCUGAAUUCCCCAACGGGUGGAUUUCUGUUGCUUUAGGUUAUGGGUGCUGUGAGCCUCUAAAGGCCAUGAAAUGCAAGGACUAGUUGGUACUUUCUGGGAGACCUUGCCCAGAUAACAGGCAAUACUGUAAAUUUCCUUCUCCUAAAGUCUGGGUGGCCUGUCUUACUGCCCAACAGUAUGCUGACUUUACACUUAAAACUUUACUUGAGCUGUUGGUGAUAGCUCAGUUGGGCUGUUGAUAGCUCACUACCUGACUAAAUACUUAGAGGUUCUUCCCCUUGUUGAGUGUUUCUGGUUCCACAAAAGUGAGAUCCUGAAGUGCUCUGAAGCCUCAGAUCUUGGCUUAGCAUUCACCAGGAGCUCUCACCAUCCAGCAGGCUGAGUUAGGCCGCUUGGCGAGUGCCUAUUGAGCCAGCCUUGCCUGUUCCCCAGCAGGGUUCUCCCCACUGUCACAGCAUCUAAGUGAGAGAACUGUGCGGGCUCCUUAGUGGUCAUGGCACAGCCAGGUCUCCGCAGGCCUUCCUUUCCAGAUAGGAAGGAACCCGACGAUUUCUGCUCGCCCUUUAAAAACUCCGUCCAGUCGUGUGCACAUUUUGUAUGUUUCUCUCCAGUCAGGCUUUUAUUUCCUUUUGGAUCACAUGUUGUCAGAAGUGGUUUUGUUGCUUAUUUUGCCUGCUCUACUUCAGGAGCUCUGUCAAGCAUGGCCCUGUCGAGUGGCCGCCUCCGGCUUUGCUCACUCUCGGCACUGUGCAUUUUAACACACGUGUGUGUUUUGCAGCUGUUAGCAGGUAGCUUGCUGAUUGUUAGUGCCAGUCCAGUCCAUGGUAGGGUGCUUCCCCACUCUUGUCUCCUUAGCUCGCACAGUAGAGCAAUUUUUUUUUUACACUUCCUUGAAAGAGACCUUUACUCUUCGUAAUAGUGGAAUUUCCCGAAUUACAGCUUUCAAACAAGGCAAUCAUUUUAGAAUAGGAACAUUAGUUAUAUUACCAAAAAUAAUUUUUUUAUGAAAUAUAAAAUGUACAUUAUUACCUUAUAGAAAUCACUGUUUAUUUCUAAUUAGAUGAUAAUUUAGAUUUUAUUUGUGUAACUAUUUAGUCUUAUUUCCUCAGAUAAAGACUCAGCAUGCUAUAUUCUUAGAAGCUUUGUCACUUUCUACUUGUCAGUCUUGUAACUGGAGUUUUGUUCUGUUGGAUACAUGCAGUGAGUCUUCUGCCUACUGUCUUUCCAUGUAUUUCUCUCUAUGAAGUAGGGAGCGUGAGAAAUCUACAGUGUGAGUAGACAUCUCAGAUUCAGUUGGUGGCCUUCUGGAGGGGCGGCUCUCUGACUGCUGUGUCUUAACAAGAAAAGGAGAUUUUUGCAGGCCAGGAGCAUGUUUUUGUUCCUAGGGCAAUAAACAUUAAAAAGUCAUUUUUAAAAAUUGCCACUGAUAUUUUCAGUUGUUUUAAGAUCUUUUACGUUGGUAUGAGAACACGCUAUUCUAUUUGGAGAUGAGAAAAGGAAACAAGGGCUCUGUGCGUGGCUCCUCUCCAGGCCAUGCUCGGGGCGAUCUUGACUUCCUGUGUACGGCCUGCUAUGUAUGAUCUGUCUAAAUCUUUUUGACAUCUGUGAUGACUUUUAUAUACUUAGGAGGACACCUUCAGGAGGAUCCAUUGAACUUUGGUACCUUUCAUGUUAGGCGACAUUUUAUUCAUCUCCAUGGUAACAGGUUGUGACUGACUUUGAAGUCUGGAAUAGUUAGCUUUGGGCAGUAAUGGGUAAAAGUAAAUAGUUCUAUUUUAAACAUUCUACAGUUAGAGUUAAUGUCAUAUCUAUUUCUCUGUACAGAUUAAUUUGACUAUUGUUUUGCCUUUUAAAUAGGUUUUUUCCUUAAAGACCGUAAUGAAUGCAUCCAUGUGCUUUGCGCACUCUCAUCCCCUCGGUCCUCCCUACCCCCUCCCAGGUCAUGUGCUUUGCGCAUUCUCAUCCCCUCGGUCCUCCCUACCCCUCCCAGGUCAUGUGCUUUGCGCAUUCUUAUCCCCUCGGUCCUCCCUACCCCUCCCAGGUCAUGUGCUUUGCGCAUUCUCAUCCCCUCGGUCCUCCCUACCCCUCCCAGGUUUGCUUGCAUCUCUACACCCAACCUUGUAUUCUUUCUAAAGAGUAAAAGUAAAAUAACCUAUCAGUCCAAUUGGUGUGCCUGCCCACGUUCUCCUCGGUUUAUGGCCUUCCGCUUCAGCUUGGCUAACUUACCAGGGGUAGCAUCCUUAAAGGGAAUGGACACCUUCCCCCAGAGCUGUCAGCUGGUUCACAGCUCCCCAGGAGUUGGAGUUUGUGGCCCGUCUGUCCUCCAUGCUGAAGCUUUGACUGACAUAUUUUAUGAUUCCUGCCCACCUUUUGAGGUACUGGGCCCUCAGCCGUCACCACUGAGUGGUGGUCCUGGUCUCAAUCAGUCCUGGCUGUGGCUCUCUAGAAUGAAACUACUGACCCUGAGCAGCCACUUCAGUGCUGGCCAAGGAGUAACAGAACACAGUGAUGUGGUCAGAGAGAUCCGUCCUGCGGCAGAGUACUGCGAGGCACUGUGUAGGCUUCUUUGUAGAUUUGCUUAGUUAAAAAGUAUUUCAUUGAAUUGUGAAAAACAAGUCAUUAAAAUUCACAUUUCAGACUCAAAAGUUUUUGAAACAUUAGCCCAAAAUAUUAAAAAGUAUUAACUAACCCCUAUGUUAGUUUGUACCUUUAAAAAAAUAAAAUAAAAA